rnacentral:miRNA from 1 species
GGUCGGUCGGUCGGUCGGUCGGUCGGUCGGUCGGUCGGUUCGUUGGUUCAU